rnacentral:other from 1 species
GAAUAUCUGAAGAGUUCGACAUUUGUUUUUCUAUUUUGACCUAACACUUUUGAUUAGGGAGCCAGAUAGGUUUUCAUGCUGAGCACACGCCUCUCCUGGAGGACGUGCAAGGUAAGAAACGGGGCACCCACCUGUUUAUAGCAGGCCAAAAUAAUCAACUUAAUAAUGACGGCUCAGUUGGAUAUUAU